UACGUAGGGUGCAAGCGUUAAUCGGAAUUACUGGGCGUAAAGCGUGCGCAGGCGGCUUUGCAAGACAGAUGUGAAAUCCCCGGGCUCAACCUGGGAACUGCAUUUGUGACUGCUUGGCUGGAGUGCGGCAGAGGGGGAUGGAAUUCCGCGUGUAGCAGUGAAAUGCGUAGAUAUGCGGAGGAACACCGAUGGCGAAGGCAAUCCCCUGGGCCUGCACUGACGCUCAUGCACGAAAGCGUGGGGAGCAAACAGG
rnacentral:rRNA from 1 species